rnacentral:lncRNA from 1 species
UCGAAGCACUGAGGGCGCCCUAGAUAUAUUUCUUGUUAACUAUAACUCACAUGCUGAAAUUCACAAGAUGAUGAUGGCAAUCCAAAUUCUUCCAUCACCUUGGGUUUUCUGGUGGCUGAAGUUGUCCUCUCCAAGGGAAUAAAUAAAUAUCUGUAUGACUUAUGCCUUAAUAAGGCCUCACUAAGUCUUAUGAAAAUUAAUUAUUGAAUUUAAACAUAAAUUUUUCAAACAUACAACUAUUAACAAAAAGGGACUUGUGCUCUAUAAAAUUAGUGGCUGUUCCUGGUGAAUAAAUAACAUAACUUUGGGAACAGUUUCACUUUAUAUCGACAUGUGUUUAUCAGGGCUAUAUGCUUUUGAUUUGGUUGGCAUUGGCUAGUCUACACUUCCUUCAUACGUCACAAUUUCUCAAUUCUCAUUUCUCAUAGUUCAAGUUAACCUAACUUCUGCAAUUUUUCUAUCCAAAGGUAUCUGCCAGUUUGGGCAUAUUAAAUAUCGAAUUUGGUGACACGAGGGUGACACUCCAAUAUUAAAUUUAUUUAGGCAGGAAAGCUGCACUGAAUUCGUCUAACAUCCUGAAUUCAUGAUUAUGGAUCUGGAAAAACAUCAGAGGUCCACCACUCAACAAGCUGGUUAAUUGGAGCCACCACAUAUUCCAAGAGGAAUCAUGGCGGUGACUGGAGAUAUCUGGGCAGUAAGAAGGACUCCAUCGCGCCCCCCUCAGCGUCGACUACCACUACUUCCGCCGUUGGCAGUGUGUCUGCUACAUCACUUUGCACAGACAAAGAGAGACUCAUUUUAAAAGGAUAAUGUGUCAAAAAUUUAAGAAAGUGAAAGUUUGGCUAACAAGGCCUUUAUAGUGGUCCACAAGAUAGAAUUUACAAAAGCUAAGUGUUAUAAAGUUUUCAAACCAAGGAUAUUACAAGCCAGGUAUUUAUUAAUUUGAAUUUUAUCUAUAUCUUAUUUAGAUCUGUCAAUGUGCUCUGUAUGCCUGUAUUUAUAGCUAUAUGGCCUUCUUUUACAAAUAAUACUAAACCAAAUGAGAUCAAAAGUCAAUUUCUAACUAGCUUAUUGAUUGUAGCCUAUAAUAUUUUCAAGCUGGCUUAUAUUUAAAUUAUUAGUGACUUGAUAAAAUUCAGCAAUUUAGGCCUAUAAAAUAUCUAAAAUAUAGUUUCAACAGUAAUAAAAUUUAUAGAAAUAAUUUCUUCUUUGCUUAGAGCUAUUGAUUCCCAACAAUAUUUUUCUACUUUGCUUGCGGUCACAAGUAAAUUCUCAUUGCCUAUCAUCCAUUCACGACAAAUCUCAAUCUGUAUUGACUUGUCUAUAAUUAUCAGCAUUAUACAGCCCUGAUUUACUCUCAAUAAUGAAUUUAUGAGCUCUGUUCUCAUCACCAGUCCCACGUUGAAUGCGCCAUUGUGUCAAUGGCCUAUCCAUGGCCAUCCAUGUUGGACGACAUUGUGUCGCAUUCUUUUUUUCAAUAACGAGUUGCCCUGCUUGGCUGCAAUCAGUAAAACAUGAAUUACAAGAUGUAUAACCCUUAUUGUGGUUCCUAGAAUAAUAAUAAUACCAAUUUCCUACUGGUUCGCCCAGGAGCUCCCGCAGUUCUCUGCUCUUGCUGGUUACUGACAUCGGCUGCUCCAACAGUCCACAAUUUCUGUGUCUGAUUUGUCGAAUUCCGCAAAUGCAGAUUCGAGAAUUUACAUUGCUGCAACUUAAUACUAUGACUUUGAGAUUCUUCAAAUCAGAUUUGCUGUUACUGGAUAAUUUAUAUAAAUCUCUGGAACAUAUUAUUUCCAAAGAUUUGAUAAUCAAGGCUGUAUAUCGCUGUUUUCCCCAACUUAUUCAGUGAAGAAUAUAGUUGGCUGGUAAUCUUAAUAAUUUUUUAAUACUGGUAACUAAAUAGAUUAUAAAAAGAUUGGUCAUGCAUGGAGAUAGGAGAAUAAAUAAAGGAUACACCAUCAAAAUUGACACAAAUAUAUUACACAAAA